GAUGAACGCUGGCGGCGUGCCUAAUACAUGCAAGUCGAGCGAACGGACGAGAAGCUUGCUUCUCUGAUGUUAGCGGCGGACGGGUUAGUAACACGUGGAUAACCUACCUAUAAGACUGGGAUAACUUCGGGAAACCGGAGCUAAUACCGGAUGAUAUUUUGAACCGCAUGGUUCAAAAGUGAAAGACGGUCUUGCUGUCACUUAUAGAUGGAUCCGCGCUGCAUUAGCUAGUUGGUAAGGUAACGGCUUACCAAGGCAACGAUGCAUAGCCGACCUGAGAGGGUGAUCGGCCACACUGGAACUGAGACACGGUCCAGACUCCUACGGGAGGCAGCAGUAGGGAAUCUUCCGCAAUGGGCGAAAGCCUGACGGAGCAACGCCGCGUGAGUGAUGAAGGUCUUCGGAUCGUAAAACUCUGUUAUUAGGGAAGAACAUAUGUGUAAGUAACUGUGCACAUCUUGACGGUACCUAAUCAGAAAGCCACGGCUAACUACGUG
rnacentral:rRNA from 1 species